AUGAAUAGGCAUUGGCAGAAAAACAGGCGUCCGACCACGCAUAAUGGAGGAUUCUAUUUCUUUUAUCAUGUAGCUAUAUCUAUAUGACCUCUGCCGCCUACUUUUUCACCCGUUGGCGCCUGUGCCUAAAUCCUUCUAAGACCGAAGUUUGCUGUUUCCACCUGUCCAAUAAGCUGGCACAUAAGACCCUCAGAGUUAGAUUCCGGGGUACAGCCUUACAACAUAACUAUUCCCCAAAGUAUCUCGGUGUUACACUGGACAGAAGCCUGACAUACCGAUUGCACAUAGAGAAGCUAAAAAGUAAAAUAAGGACCAGGAUAUUUUAAUUACGAUACAUAAAUAACUACUAAAACAUGUUUUCUGCAAGAAAUUAGUUAUCUUAUUAUAUUAUAAAAUAUUUAUUAUCCAUCUGUGAUGUUUAUUUCUUGUGAAGAUAUCGAAGUUUCGCUGUGUAGCACUUAUCGAUAUAUAAUAUGAUCAAAAUCGACCCGUCCACAUCCCUAAAAAUCCACACAUACACAUUUUUACGCACAUAUACAAAGCAGUAUAACCACCAAAAUGGCUACGGCUUGAGUAUUCAAAUUUGUAUUGAGAAAAGGCAACUAUAUCCUGUCUUUAUUUGCCUCUCUAUCGCUCGAAUAUGCAAUACGCAUGCACUCUUCGUCAAAAUCGGUUUCAAACUUUUUCGACUGAGUACGCGCAAUAAACGCCUAGUAGUAGUAUUUAAAUGUUUACCGUAUUCAUUUAAAGCAUCGUAGGACAAUGCCGCUAUGUAAACUGUAAGGUGGGUCUUAAAUUAGUGUGAGUUAUUUUGGCACCGGACUCAACCUUCACGUUACAAUAUUUAAAGUAUUGCGCUGUCAUAGUAACGAAAAUGAUAAACACGUCAAUCGGAGUAAACAAGUAACUAAAUGAUGCAAACAAGAAAAUAUUGCAAAAUAGGUACAUAUAUAUGUACCGAUAAUAAUUUUGUGUUAAAAAUAUGAGGCAAAUUAUACUGCCCGAUUAUAUGGACUACAUAUUAAAAACGAUUAUCUUGGAAACAGUCAAUAGAUGUCGAACCACCAGCAAAGUUUUUGAAGAGGUGUAGUUCCUGGUACCAACUGGAAACUGAAACUAAUAAUCUACACUCAAGAAAAUGAAAUAUAGUCACAGAAAACUUUAAUGUUUUAUUUUAUUAAAGAAAAACGUUAAAAAAAUGUGUAAACAGAAA